UUUGACCUCAAAUCAGGUAGGACUACCCGCUGAACUUAAGCAUAUCAAUAAGCGGAGGAAAAGAAACUAACAAGGAUUCCCCCUAGUAACUGCGAGUGAACCCGGGAAAAGCUCAAAAUUUUUGAAUCUGGCGGUCCUUUCUGGCCCGUCCCGAGUUGUAAUYCUAUANAAACCACCCCCCGCGCUGGAACARUAUUAAAAGUCGCCGGGAARGACCGCUUGGAYCUUGGA
rnacentral:rRNA from 1 species